AUUUUCAAUGGCACUUUUACUGCAGAACAUAAGUCGACUCAGUCAAUCACCUAGAAUAGUUGUUUCAAACUUGUCACCAAUGCAACAGCGCUUUCGAGCUCGUAAGGGAACAAGAGAGCGGAAAGAAAAAAAGAAAGUCAAGAAAGAAGUGAUCAAGCAACCAUGGAUGCCCAUCAAAAAAACAAAAACCAAAGGUGUCGCUGUCUCUCCGAGAGUGAAUGAUGAGUUGCUAACAGAACCUCCAGACAACGUGUGGUUCUUGAAUGAUUACAAGAGGCCUCUUUAUUCCUUUGCUGAAGCUUUAGGCAUGAUAAGGGAAGUGCAUCAUCCACAGUAUAUAAUCAGCCGAAAAGUCUGGUGAAUGCUUAUAUCGAAUUGGAUCUGAGAACUGCUAAGAAGGUCUGUAAUUUCUGAUUUCUGUACAAUGAUGAAACUAUUUACUAUUUCAGAAUUUGUUUUGUCAUACUUUUUUAAAGAUUUUUAAACUAACUUAUUGUGUCAGUGUACAUGUUUUUGUAAUAAUGCUGCUAUGCUCAGCAAGAGUGCAGAAGAUCAAUGACAAUUCUCCAGUCACAAAAAAUUAACGGUAAGAGCCCUUAGGUAAUCCUACAUUACGCAGCAUUCAUCAAAUAAUGAAUAUUCCGGAUUUAACAAUUGGCGAGUGGUGUGGAUGGAAGCAUGCAUAGAGAUGGUAUCUAUGUAUGUUUCCAUCCACAUCACUUGCCAAAUAUUGAGGAAAUCUCAUUGAUGUCUGGAAAUUUAAACGCAGGCUUGGCUUUACGAAUGAAAUCCUUUUGACUGGUGUCAGAAAGACCGACUUUGAGUGGGAAUGGAAAGUGCCUAUUUGAAUGAUUUGCCUUGCGUUAAUGUGAAUAUAACAGAAAAGAAGCUGCAUUCGACUUGCAAGACUCAGGCACCAAUUUUGACCACAACUCUAAUUCCUUGAAUGACAAGCAUUGAUGCUCUGGUUUCGAAUGGCGUGAUAGCUUUUAGAGUUUCAAAUGUUGAUUCAAGCAUACUGCAAGAUCAUUCCCUCACAUUUAAUUACGUAAUCGUAAGUGGUCUUAGCAAAAUCAAAAAUCGGUGAGACAUUAUAUGUCUUCAAAAAUUAAUUGUCUUCUGAAUUCUUGGUCAGAGAUUUUUUAAACUUGGGAGAUUUACUAACUUUUGAUUCUUUCUGUUUUUUUUCCUACUUUAUAGACCAAAUUUGUCGAGCGUUUUACACGUUGGUUGGGAUUCCCUAUCCUUAUGAUCAUGGUGAAGAGCGCACUGUGAUAGCAUUUUGCAAAAUCCGGAGGUUGUAAGAGAAG
rnacentral:lncRNA from 1 species